rnacentral:lncRNA from 1 species
AUUGCUGGUUUGUAUCACUUAAUUAUUUUGUUUUUCUUUAAUUAAUGCUAUUUUGGCAAAAACAAGAUUAACGUGCAUCUAAAAUAAUAACAUGAUGGGAAAAUUAUGAUAUUACAAAGUUCUAUAAAUAAAAAAUGUGCGGUGGCGCUAAUUAGCACGUGAUGCAAACAAACCGUUCAACAACAACAACAACACGAGGAAACAUGCGUGAAAAGGCAAACAAACAAUAUUUGUAAACACGAGAACAACUGCUGGCGGUACACAUUAUAAGAAGAUGACUUUAUUGGACGAGAAGUUGUUACGCCUACAAAUUUCAGACGUUGCAUCUUGAAGACAGCGAUCACUUCAUGAUCAUUCUCACAGGAAAGUGAAGAGAAAAUGGCCAACAGGGAGUGUAUAUUGGGAAAAUUGAAACCUUUCAAAGCAACUGAUGAGUACUACAAUCUUCUGCCAGAGGACGAAGCAGCAACCCCCAAGUCAUUCACAGGAUUACAAAAGGGCUAUGAAUUGUUUUUUUUUUUCUUUUUUUGGCAAGCACAAUUCUGCUGCCAAAACCAAGAAUGCCUUCACAAUUAGCUUCGAAUAUGAUAAUGGAGAACAGUGAAAGUUUUUGUUAGUAAGAAAAUCAGUCUUGGAGAGGAAGGAAAGAGAUCCGUGAUAACAGAUGAUACCUUAAAGCACUAUCUAGAUAAACAUAUGUGCAAGUAAUCUCGCAUCAACAAAUAUGUGUCGUAGCAGUGAGAAAGCUCAUUUUCAAAAGUGUGUUUUUGGAUAUCAGACCAACCAUGACAUUUAUAAACAGUCCUCCAGAGUUGGUUGAACACAGUACAUGUACAUUAGUCCGGAGGAUUUAAUCAUAACUGCCACCAACAAAGUUGAAGUGGUUUUUACUGGUUUGAAAUGUGAGGUGUAAUCAUACAGUAAACAAAUAAUAUAGUAUUAACAUCGUUAUAGCA